rnacentral:sRNA from 1 species
CCUGUCAACGGUAAGCGGACCGCUUGUAGCGGGAGCAUUAAGGAGUUGACAGGAAUGAGGCU